UACGAAGGGGGGCUAGCGUUGCUCGGAAUCACUGGGCGUAAAGGGUGCGUAGGCGGGUCUUUUAAGUCAGGGGGUGAAAUCCUGGAGCUCAACUCCAGAACUGCCUUUGAUACUGAGGAUCUUGAGUUCGGGAGAGGUGAGUGGAACUGCGAGUGUAGAGGUGAAAUUCGUAGAUAUUCGCAAGAACACCAGUGGCGAAGGCGGCUCACUGGCCCGAUACUGACGCUGAGGCACGAAAGCGUGGGGAGCAAACAGG
rnacentral:rRNA from 1 species